rnacentral:tRNA from 1 species
AGGAUAAUAGUUAAACUUAUAACAUUUUAAUAGCAUUAAAAAAUUAUACAUUAUUUAUCUUA